CUGCGCGCUGGAACCCCGCCCGCCUCAAGGCUCCUGCGCAGGCGCGCAGGGCAGGCGUGGAGCCCGCCCUGGGAGGGCCCCGCAGGAGAUGGGGAAAUGGAGGGACGCUGCACCAGGGCGCUUCCUGGGGCCAGGCGACGCCUUCUCCUUGGAGCCUCCAAGACCGUCCCUCCUAGAAACGAGAGAGUCUGACCGGGCGCGGUGGCUCACGCCUGUAAUCCCAGCACUUUUGGAGGCUGAGGCGGGUAGAUCACCUGAGGUUGGGGGUUCGAGACCAGCCUGGCCAAUAUGGUGCAAUCCCGUCUCUACCAAAAUUACAAAAAUUAGCCAGGCGUGGUGGCGCGCACUUGUAGUCCCAGUUACUUGGGAGGCUGAGGCAGAAUUGCUUGAACCCAGGAGGCGGAGGCUGCAGUGAGAGGAGAUCACACCACUGCACUUCAAGGAUUCCUACCGUCUGUCUCCACGUGAUGACACUGAAGAGCCUUCACGUCUAUGACGGCCUAGGGUCUCAAGUGCAGAGACUGAGAGCUCUGCCAGACACAGCAUGGAGCCGCCAUUCCUCUACUGUUCAGUGAUUGGGUGGAAGAGCAUCUGUCCUCUGAACAGGGGAUCCAAGCCCUGAGAUGAUGUUUCUCAGCAGUCAGUGUGGCCCAGGACUUUCUGUGGGCAUGCUCAGAGAGCAGGGGCCAGAGGACUUUUAGCCACCACCUUCUAUGGCCAGUCUUCACAAAUUACCUUUGGCUAAUUUGAUUGUCUCUCCUCCUGGGGUCUAGGACUUCAAACACAUACAGAAGCGAUUGCAGAAUUGAAACAAGACACUUCCACAAUAUACUUUUUGUAUCAGUGGCUCAGAAAAAGACUCAUUCAAAUCCUGUAUCAAAGCCAUGUGUGAGCAUCUUGAGAAAGCAUUGACUGACUAACUUGACAAGGGAGGAAGCAAACAAGAAUUCUGCCCUUCUUCAGUGCCUGAGUGUGAUAUUUUGCCUCAACAUCCCUCUUAGAUGAAGUUACUGAUUGAAAAUCAUUUAAGUUUUUGCCCCGUGAUAAAAGAUCGCGUCCUCAGAAAGAUCUCCAAAGCAUUUACUGUUUGUUUGGUUUGGUUUUGGUAAGUUUACCAUGAUUUUGCUUGAAUUGCUCUCCGCUGAUCUUCUCAGCUAAGAUCGAGGUAGAGUUGCACAGCAGAAGAGGGCUGCAUGUAAGGAGGCAGCUCUGUCUCGGAGGACAAAAGGCCUGGGAGCAUCCAGACAGGCAGUCACUGUGUGGAGGUCACUCCCCUCCCAGUGGCCACUGUGGAGGCAUUUCAUAGAAAUGCUCGCUGGACCAUUCAGUUUUAGAGUUGGGACAAAACCGAGAACUCAUGAGGAUAUCGGAUAGGAGUUAGGAAAUGACUUUUUCACACAACCCAGGCAAGGAGGGGAGAACCCUGGGCUUGAGACUUGCAAUCCACUGCCUGCCCCUGCAGUGUGGCCCGUUACGUUUUCUGCAACUCUGCCUUCUUGAGUCCAAAUGUCUUUGAAAGGGGCAAAUGCUUCUUAAGUGCCAACAGGGUGUGUUUCAGUGAAUGUUCACAGUGUGCACUGGUCCGGCUGAAGGCCUCUUCCCUUCCCCAACACCCACCCAUCAGUGCAAAAGACUGCUGCCCAGCAGGGAGUGACAUCUGUGUCUCAGAUUUUCUUGCUGUGCUCUGAGUACUCACUCCUCAUCUCCUUUGACCAGUUUCCUAACACUCCCCUUGUUCACAACACAGAACAUGAGUGCUCUUUCCUGUCAUUUUGACGCUGAUAAACAGCAAUUCUGUGUGAAAAUGAGAAUGAAGAUUUUUUUAAAGACAGGCUACAAUAAUUCCCAUGCUGAGAACCACAUGUGAUGACACUUGUGAUGAAGAUGAGGACAGCAACGAGCUGAGAGACUCCAACCAGGAUUCACACAUGCAAGGGGAUGCAUGAGAAUGGGGAUGGGACAUUGGUGGUUAGCAUCCUUGCUUGUCUCAGAAUGGACGUGGGUUGUGGAUUUCUAACUCCUGGAGAAACCAGAGUUCUAGGAAUUGUAAGCCACUUUA